rnacentral:rRNA from 1 species
AGAGUUUGAUCCUGGCUCAGGACGAACGCUGGCGGCGUGCCUAACACAUGCAAGUCGAACGGGACCGGGGGCAACUCCGGUUCAGUGGCGGACGGGUGCGUAACACGUGAGGAACAUGACCUUCGGCGGGGGAUAGCCGGCCCAACGGCCGGGUAAUACCGCGUACGACCUUUCGGGGACAUCCCUGGAUGGUGAAAGCAGCAAUGCGCCGAUGGAGUGCCUCGCGGCCUAUCAGCUAGUUGGUGGGGUAACGGCCUACCAAGGCAACGACGGGUAGCUGGUCUGAGAGGAUGGCCAGCCACAUUGGGACUGAGACACGGCCCAGACUCCUACGGGAGGCAGCAGUGGGGAAUAUUGCGCAAUGGACGAAAGUCUGACGCAGCGACGCCGCGUGUGGGAUGACGGUCUUCGGAUUGUAAACCACUGUCGGGAGGGACGAAUACNNCCGCAGGCGGGUGACGGUACCUCCAAAGGAAGCCCGGCUAACUCCGUGCCAGCAGCCGCGGUAAUACGGAGGGUGCGAGCGUUGUCCGGAAUCACUGGGCGUAAAGGGCGCGUAGGCGCCUGAUAAGUAGGGGGUGAAAUCCUGCGGCUUAACCGCAGGGCUGCCUUCUAAACUGUCAGGCUCGAGCACAGUAGAGGCAGGUGGAAUUCCCGGUGUAGCGGUGGAAUGCGUAGAGAUCGGGAAGAACAUCAGUGGCGAAGGCGGCCUGCUGGGCUGUUCUGNNNCGANNNNCGACAGCGUGGGGAGCAAACAGGAUUAGAUACCCNNGUAGUCC